rnacentral:rRNA from 1 species
UGAGGAAUAUUGGUCAAUGGACGAAAGUCUGAACCAGCCAAGUAGCGUGCAGGAUGACGGCCCUCUGGGUUGUAAACUGCUUUUAGUUGGGAAUAAAAAAGAGGACGUGUCCUCUAUUGUAUGUACCUUCAGAAAAAGGACCGGCUAAUUCCGUGCCAGCAGCCGCGGUAAUACGGAAGGUCCAGGCGUUAUCCGGAUUUAUUGGGUUUAAAGGGAGCGUAGGCGGAUUAUUAAGUCAGUGGUGAAAGACGGUGGCUCAACCAUCGUUAGCCAUUGAAACUGGUAGUCUUGAGUGCAGACAGGGAUGCUGGAACUCGUGGUGUAGCGGUGAAAUGCUUAGAUAUCACGAUGAACUCCGAUCGCGAAGGCAGGUGUCCGGGCUGCAACUGACGCUGAGGCUCGAAAGUGUGGGUAUCAAACAGGAUUAGAUACCCUGGUAGUCCACACAGUAAACGAUGUAUACUCGCGGUUUGCGAUAGAAUGUAAGCCGCCNAGCGAAAGCAUUAAGUAUACCACCUGGGGAGUACGCCGGCNACGGU